UACAGAGGGUGCAAGCGUUAAUCGGAAUUACUGGGCGUAAAGCGUGCGUAGACGGUUACAUAAGUCGGGUGUGAAAGCCCCGGGCUCAAACCUGGGAAUUGCAUUCGAGACUGCGUAGCUAGGGUGCGGAAGAGGGAAGCGGAAUUUCCGGUGUAGCGGUGAAAUGCGCAGAUAUCAGGAGGAACACCGGUGGCGAAGGCGGUGGUCUGGGCCGGAACUGACGCUGAGGAGCGAAAGCGUGGGGAGCGAACAGG
rnacentral:rRNA from 1 species